CAGAGGUCCCAAGCGUUGCUCGGAUUUACUGGGCGUAAAGGGUGCGUAGGCGGUUGUUUAAGUCUGACGUGAAAUCUCCGGGCCUAACCCGGAAACUGCGUUGGAUACUAUUCAACUAGAGGAAUGGAGGGGAGACUGGAAUACUUGGUGUAGCAGUGAAAUGCGUAGAUAUCAAGUGGAACACCAGUGGCGAAGGCGAGUCUCUGGACAUUUCCUGACGCUGAGGCACGAAAGCCAGGGGAGCAAACGGGAUUAGAUACCCCGGUAGUCCUGGCCCUAAACGGUGCGCGUUUGCUGUAAGUGGAAUCGACCCCACUUGUGGCGUAGUUAACACGUUAAACGCGCCGCCUGGGAAGUACGGCCGCAAGGUUA
rnacentral:rRNA from 1 species